rnacentral:rRNA from 1 species
UAGGGAAUCUUCCACAAUGGACGAAAGUCUGAUGGAGCAACGCCGCGUGAGUGAAGAAGGGUUUCGGCCCGUAAAACUCUGUUGUUAAAGAAGAACAUAUCUGAGAGUAACUGUUCAGGUAUUGACGGUAUUUAACCAGAAAGCCACGGCUAACUACGUGCCAC